GUGCUAUGAUGAUAUCAAGAGAAUGGUUUCGCUUAUACCUGAAAUAUUUUGAUGUGCAAAUCUCUUGGCUGUCUGAGCAU